UACGGAGGGUGCAAGCGUUGUUCGGAAUCACUGGGCGUAAAGGGCGUGUAGGCGGUCCGCUAAGUCUGAUGUGAAAGCCCGGGGCUCACCCCCGGAAGGGCAUUGGAAACUGACGGACUCGAGUCCCGGAGAGGAAGGUGGAAUUCCUGGUGUAGCGGUGAAAUGCGUAGAUAUCAGGAGGAAUACCGGUGGCGAAGGCGGCCUUCUGGACGGUGACUGACGCUGAGACGCGAAAGCGUGGGGAGCAAACAGG
rnacentral:rRNA from 1 species